CUCUACAUAUUACCCUCCCCAGACCCCACUUUGUGGGACUAUACUGGGUAGUUGUUGUUGUUGUUGGGGAGGAUAGUGUGCAGGCAGACCUUACCCCUAUCCGGGGAUAGGAAGGCUGUUUCCAAAUAGACUCUCGGCAUCCUUCCCUCCAAAAAUUUUCUACCUUACUCUUGGGGAGACUCGAACUCAACCUCUCUGAUUGGAAGUGGAGGUUGCUUACCAUCGGAGCAACCCCUUUUGUCUUUCACUAUAUGGAUAAAGAUUUAAA
rnacentral:lncRNA from 1 species